CAACCGCACCACACCACACAUCAUUUCUCUGCUUUUCUUUCUUUCUAUCCAACCAAUUAAUUAAUCCAUCAUUUCUGUCUGUCACCUCCAUUUUCCCUUUCCCCUCUCUUGUCUCCACAACACAAAGUGUUUCUUUCACUAAACUCAAAAUACUGCGUCGUUCUUGACGCUUAUGGCUUGAUUUCUUCCAAGCAAGCAAGGAAGCAAUGAAGGAAGGGAUGAGUAAAUCUUGGUUUUUCGACAAGGAUUUCAGUGGGGUUCCGGAUAAUUUUUUCGAGGAUACUUUGGGGUGCUUUGAUUUCCCAUUGGAAGAUGUAGAACCAAAUGGUGAUGAUGGAGAAGACUGGGAGUCUAAAUUCCGACAUCUCGAGCCCCCUUCCUCUAAUCUUUUAACCACUUUUUCAACCGCUCUCUGUGGUGAAGAUGCCUCCUCCCUGGAACCCAACUAUAACUCUUGUUCGGUUUUGCUUAAUGGAUCUUUACAGUUAAAACAUUGGGCAAGCUCUGCUGAAGCAUCUUCAAGCAGAAGCAAACCCAUCCUUUGUCGGUCUUCAGACAGCAAAUAUUCUCAUCUGUUCCAGGCCACCAGCCCAGUUUCUGUCCUGGAAAGCAGUGGCAGUUCUUGUCCCACUGAAAAUGCGACAACAUAUUACCCCAAAUUUGUCACACCAGUAAAGCGCCCUCGAAGCAAGCUGCCACGCCUCCGGCGACAUACAUUCCCUUUCAUCCCCACUGCCUGUGCCUCUAAAAAGUUUUAUUGUUCGGCUUCUUCAGAUCCAGAAUUAGAAUACUAUAAUGAUGAGGAAAUAUUGGAUUCUUCCAGGAAACAACAGAAGAAAAGGAAUCUGAUGCUGCUAUCUUCUGCAGUAGAGAUGGCGCCGAAGAUGAAGCAGCCAGUUGAAACCAGGAGAUGCACACAUUGUCAGGUGACAAAGACUCCACAAUGGAGAGAAGGACCAUUGGGGCCAAAAACCCUUUGCAAUGCUUGUGGGGUUCGGUACAGAUCAGGCCGCCUCCUUCCAGAGUAUCGACCAGCUGCCAGCCCUACCUUUGUUCCUUUUUUGCACUCCAACUCUCACAGGAAGGUGUUAGAGAUGAGAAAGCAGACGUAGCAGCAGGCCUCUAAUUUGCUCAGGGAGCAUGAAGUUUGAGCCUUCCUUUGCUUUCUCGUCAGAGAUAAGCUCCUGGGCAAAAGAUUUGAGUCCACUUCUAAAGAACAUUUUGUGUCCAGUUGAACUUCUUUCUCCUUCAAGAAAACAAGAUCUACUCUCUGCGCUCGCAUGACUGCCAUCAUAAUGAUCAACUACAUGCCUUGGUGAAUUCGUUUGGGCUCCAAGAGUGUCAGAUUUUGGCAUCGUUGCUGUCGACAAUGAUUCUGCUGAACUUAAGCAUGCUUUAUCCAACCGGACCAGUCUCCGUCUUUCGGGGGCAUCAAGAAUUUGAAAUUUCAAUCAAGCUCUUUUAGUUUUUGUACCUUGUUAUUUUACUGCGUGUUCGUGGGAGCUUGUUGUUACUUGCUGCUGCUUAA